rnacentral:rRNA from 1 species
UACGGAGGGUGCAAGCGUUGUCCGGAAUCACUGGGCGUAAAGGGCGCGUAGGCGGCUCAUGAAGGCUGUGGUGAAAGUCCGGGGCUCAACCUCGGAUCGGCCGUGGCGACUCGUGGGCUGGAGCACUGUAGAGGAGGGUGGAAUUCCGGGUGUAGCGGUGGAAUGCGUAGAGAUCCGGAAGAACACCAGUGGCGAAGGCGGCCCGCUGGGCAGUGGCUGACGCUGAGGCGCGACAGCGUGGGGAGCAAACAGG